GGUGAGUCUAAAAUAUACUUUGGGGCCAGGCGCACAGAUCACUUAAGUCAGGAGUUCGAGACUAUCCUGGCCAACAUGGCAAAACCCCGUGUCUACUAAAAAUACAAAAAUUAGCCAUGCAUGCACCUGUAGCUACUAGGGAGGCAGGAGAAUCGCUUGAACUUGGGAGGCAGAGGUUGCAGUGAGCCGAGAUCAUGCCACUGCACUCCAGCCUGGGCAACAGAACAAGACUCUGUCUCAAAACAAAACAUAGUCUGGGGGGUCUUUUCUGGGAAGCAGUGUUAGGAAUAUCUAACUUUUGAUGUAAUUUUGAUGUAAGAACCUUCAUCUAAAAACAUAGUUCCCCAUGUAUCUAGAAAUAAGGCAUAAAUACAGCAUUCAGAUGUAUCCUUGUGGAAAUGGUGACAUGGAGAAAAGCAACACAUGUGGGACCACAGACUCAUGGGCAGUAGGAACAAAACUCCCCUUACGGUACCUCUAUUCAUCAGUACUUUGGUGAGGUGGAGACUCAGACCCAUCCAGAAUGGGUGAGACUGGGCAUGAUUCAGAAAAGUUGGAAGAUCUAGAGAGGGAUCUUGCAAUCUGAAGUUUCUUGUUUAGUCACUGGAGGAUCUGAACGUCUAUGACACUCUUUCGAGCUGACACAGUGAAGAACAUGGAAGGAGAACUCACCCAGUCUGCCAGGGUCACAGAUGAUCAUACUCAAGAUCUUCCUGGGGAGUCAAUGGCAAAUUUCACUGGG
rnacentral:sRNA from 1 species